rnacentral:rRNA from 1 species
AGAGUUUGAUCUUGGCUCAGGAUGAACGCUGGCGGCGUGCCUAAUACAUGCAAGUCGAACGCUUUGUGGUUCAACUGAUUUGAAGAGCUUGCUCAGAUAUGACGAUGGACAUUGCAAAGAGUGGCGAACGGGUGAGUAACACAUGGGAAACCUACCUCUUAGCAGGGGAUAACAUUUGGAAACAGAUGCUAAUACCGUAUAACAAUGACAACCGCAUGGUUGUUAUUUAAAAGAUGGUUCUGCUAUCACUAAGAGAUGGUCCCGCGGUGCAUUAGCUAGUUGGUAAGGUAAUGGCUUACCAAGGCGAUGAUGCAUAGCCGAGUUGAGAGACUGAUCGGCCACAAUGGGACUGAGACACUGCCCAUACUCCUACGGGAGGCAGCAGUAGGGAAUCUUCCACAAUGGGCGAAAGCCUGAUGGAGCAACGCCGCGUGUGUGAUGAAGGGUUUCGGCUCGUAAAACACUGUUGUAAGAGAAGAAUGACAUUGAGAGUAACUGUUCAAUGUGUGACGGUAUCUUACCAGAAAGGAACGGCUAAAUACGUGCCAGCAGCCGCGGUAAUACGUAUGUUCCAAGCGUUAUCCGGAUUUAUUGGGCGUAAAGCGAGCGCAGACGGUUAUUUAAGUCUGAAGUGAAAGCCCUCAGCUCAACUGAGGAAUUGCUUUGGAAACUGGAUGACUUGAGUGCAGUAGAGGAAAGUGGAACUCCAUGUGUAGCGGUGAAAUGCGUAGAUAUAUGGAAGAACACCAGUGGCGAAGGCGGCUUUCUGGACUGUAACUGACGUUGAGGCUCGAAAGUGUGGGUAGCAAACAGGAUUAGAUACCCUGGUAGUCCACACCGUAAACGAUGAGUGCUAGGUGUUUGAGGGUUUCCGCCCUUAAGUGCCGCAGCUAACGCAUUAAGCACUCCGCCUGGGGAGUACGACCGCAAGGUUGAAACUAAAAGAAUUGACG